CAAUCUGCAGAGGUAAGAGAUCCAAAGAAGGCUAAUUUAUGUACUUAAGUUUUUUGUUUUAAAGAAAUUGGAAAAGAACAAAGGAGUAAGCCUCUUAUAAGCAACUGUUGAGGGCAUUAUGUAUGCAUAUACAAAUGCCCUUGACGACAAAACAAAUACUAUAGAAUUCGCUCAACAAUACGCAGAAAAAAAAACCGUACAGCUAAACGUCUAGCCACCCCUGGCUUAGCUAUAUUGAUUUUGUAAAAAUAGACUCAGAAGUAAAGAUUACGCUAUCUUUACGACACCAUAACUGACAAUGUUUUGCUAAAAGAAAACUAAUUCUUCGCUCCAAAAACUCUUGGAAUUUGUUUAAUCAAUUGAUCAAUUAACGAAAAAGUUUAUGUAGCGAUUUCGUGCCAUACUCGAGAAAUGGCUUAUUGAAGGUUUGGAAAAGUAAAUAAUAAGAGCGAUUUACCAGCUUACAACUAUUUUCGGACAUUUGAGGGUCUCUAACUUCAAAAGAAAAGGAAUU